CUGGCUCAGGAUGAACGCUAGCGGCAGGCUUAACACAUGCAAGUCGAGGGGCAUCGGGAGUAGCAAUACUGCCGGCGACCGGCGCAAGGGUGCGUAACGCGUGAGCAACAUGCCCGUAUCAGGGGGAUAAUCCAUGGAAACGUGGUCUAAUACCCCAUAGUAAUUAUGUAAGGCAUCUUAUAUAAUUUAAAGCUUUGGUGGAUACGGAUUGGCUCGCGUGACAUUAGCUGGAUGGUAAGGUAACGGCUUACCAUGGCUACGAUGUCUAGGGGUUCUGAGAGGAAGGUCCCCCCACACUGGAACUGAGACACGGUCCAGACUCCUACGGGAGGCAGCAGUGAGGAAUAUUGGACAAUGGAUGGAAAUCUGAUCCAGCCAUGCCGCGUGCAAGGAAGACGGCCCUAUGGGUUGUAAACUGCUUUUGUAUGGGAGCAAUAAGGGCUACGUGUAGUCCGAUGAGAGUACCAUACGAAUAAGCACCGGCUAACUCCGUGCCAGCCGCCGC
rnacentral:rRNA from 1 species